GACGAACCGUGCGAACGUUGUUCGGAAUCACUGGGCUUAAAGGGCGCGUAGGCGGGCUGUCAAGUCUGGGGUGAAAUGCCGCGGCUCAACCGUGGAACUGCCUUAGAUACUGACGGCCUCGAGGAAGGUAGGGGCAUGCGGAACUGUAGGUGGAGCGGUGAAAUGCGUUGAUACCUACAGGAACUCCGGUGGCGAAAGCGGCGUGCUGGACCUUUUCUGACGCUGAGGCGCGAAAGCUAGGGGAGCAAACGGG
rnacentral:rRNA from 1 species